UACAUGCUUGUGUGAAGAGUCACAGAAUGC
rnacentral:piRNA from 1 species